rnacentral:rRNA from 1 species
GCGUGAAUGAUGAAGGCCCUCGGGUUGUAAAAUUCUUUUAGUAGGGAAGAUGAUGACGGUACCUACAGAAUAAGCUCCGGCUAACUUCGUGCCAGCAGCCGCGGUAAUACGAAGGGAGCUAGCGUUGUUCGGAAUUACUGGGCGUAAAGGGUGCGUAGGCGGCCUAGUUAGUCAGAUGUGAAAGCCCCGGGCUCAACCUGGGAAUUGCGUUUGAUACUGCUGGGCUAGAAUUCGGUAGAGGUGAGUGGAAUUCCCAGUGUAGAGGUGAAAUUCGU